AAAUGCGAUAAUUAAUGUGAAUUGCAGAAUUCAGUGAAUCAUCGAGUCUUUGAACGCACAUUGCGCCCCCUGGUAUACCGGGGGGCAUGCCUGUCCGAGCGUCAUUGCUGCCCUCAAGCACGGCUUGUGUGUUGGGCUUCCGUCCCUGGCAACGGGGACGGGCCCAAAAGGCAGUGGCGGCACCAUGUCUGGUCCUCGAGCGUAUGGGGCUUUGUCACCCGCUCCCGUAGGUCCAGCUGGCAGCUAGCCUCGCAACCAAUCUUUUUAACCAGGUUGACCUCGGAUCAGGUAGGGAUACCCGCUGAACUUAAGC
rnacentral:misc_RNA from 1 species